UACGAAGGGUGCAAACGUUGCUCGGAAUCAUUGGGCGUAAAGCGCACGUAGGCGGCUUCAAAAGUCGGAUGUGAAAUCCCCCAGCUCAACUGGGGAAGUGCCUCCGAUACUGGCGGCCUCGAGGGGGAUAGGGGCAUGCGGAACUUCCGGUGGAGCGGUGAAAUGCGUAGAUAUUGGAAAGACCACCAAUGGCGAAGGCACUCUACUGGGCCAUUACUGACACUGAGAGACGAAAGCUAGGGGAGCAAAUGGG
rnacentral:rRNA from 1 species